rnacentral:rRNA from 1 species
UACGAAGGGGGCUAGCGUUGUUCGGAUUUACUGGGCGUAAAGGGUGCGUAGGCGGAUUUUUAAGUCAGGGGUGAAAUCCCAAGGCUCAACCUUGGAACUGCCUUUGAUACUGGGGAUCUUGAGUCCGAGAGAGGUGAGUGGAACUGCGAGUGUAGAGGUGAAAUUCGUAGAUAUUCGCAAGAACACCAGUGGCGAAGGCGGCUCACUGGCCCGGAACUGACGCUGAGGCACGAAAGCGUGGGGAGCAAACAGG